CGGCUUCCGCUGUUCUGAUUAAGGAACAAUUCCACUUCUGGAGAUGCCUCCCUUGGCUCAUUUUCACGUUGCCUCCGUCAGUCCCUAUCUAACAAAUUCCGCUACUCUCUAACGGGUAGUAUUGUAUUUUUAUGUUCUCUAGCAAUUUUAUUUUAUGUUUUUCAAAGCCGGGCGCGGUGGCACCCGGGAGGCAGAGGCAGGCGGAUCUGUGAGCCUGGUCUCCAAAGUGAGCCCAGGACAGCCGAGGCCACACAGAGAAACCCUAUCUGAGAAAAACAAAACAAAAUCUCUUUUCUGGAAAUAUUUUUUUGGCGGAGUAAAUUUCUUUUUGGCCUGAUAGCUUUUGAAGAGGCUCUGGCUCCGUACCAGCUGGGAACAGUUCUUCAGGCCUCUGCCGUUUGGAAAAGACUAAUUGUGAAUUAACUUUAGUCACAAGAUAAUACCAUGCAGAGUUUCAAGAAAACGCCUUUGUAUUUCUGGUUGGAACAGUAUGGAUAUAACAGAAUUGUGGAUACUUUCACAGCGUAUUCUACGUCCUACGAAACCACUGGCAGCGCAAAUAAAAAGGUGGCAACGAAGCAAAGUGACAGCUUUCUUUACGACACAAAUGAAGAGACAACAGUGACUAAUGCCAGAAGCAACAGUGAAAG